AUUGAACGCUGGCGGCAGGCCUAACACAUGCAAGUCGAACGAGUGGCGGACGGGUGAGUAAUGUCUGGGAAACUGCCUGAUGGCGGGGGAUAACUACUGGAAACGGUAGCUAAUACCGCAUACCAUCGGAUGUGCCCAGAUGGGAUUAGCUAGUAGGUGGGGUAACGGCUCACCUAGGCAACGAUCCCUAGCUGGUCCGAGAGGAUGACAGGCCACACGGGAACUGAGACACGGUCCAGACUCCUACGGGAGGCAGCAGUGGGGAAUAUUGCAAAAGGGGCGCAAGCCUGAUGCAGCCAUGCCGCGUGGAUGAAGAAGGCCUGCGGGUUGUAAAGUACUUUCAGCAGGGAAGCGUUACCCGCAGAAGAAGCACCGGCUAACUCCGUGCCAGCAGCCGCGGUAAUAC
rnacentral:rRNA from 1 species